UAAAAUUUAGAUUAUUUUGUUAGGACAAUACAGGUAUAUGUAUAGUUAUAUUAAGUUUGAAGGUUAUUAAAAAUGAAAGAUUACUAGUACUGUAGGGGAAAGGUGAAAAAUUGAAAAAGAGGUUAUUUUAUAGUAAAUUUUAUUGUACCUUUUGUAUUAGGGUUUAAUGAAAGUUAAGAAUUAUUUUAUUAUCCCGAAAAAUCUUGGGCUAUUGAAAUUGUAUUUUAAAGUGUUGCAAAAUUUUAAUUAAAUUUUAAAUAGUAAUGAAAUUUUAAUCGAAAGAUUUGAUAUCUGGUUAGAUAUAAAAAAAUUAUACGUUUUUACAUGAAUAAUUAAAAUUAUUUAGUUUAUGUUUUUUUAUUUUUUUGGAUAAGCAGGAAAUUUUUAAUAUAUAGAAUAUUAUAGAAAAUUUUAGGUUUGGAAUUUACUUUAUUUUGUAGUAAAAAAGUAUUUAUAUAUUUUUUUUUAUUUUUGAAAUUCUUUUGUUUAAUUUUGUUUUAAAAGUAAUUAUAUUAGAAUGAGUAUAAAAUUUGGAUUUUUUUGUUUUUGAUUAUUUAUUAAAAAAAGAUAAUAAAGGGGUAAUAACUCGGCAAAAGUAAUUUUUGAAUGUUUAUCAAAAACAUUGUAUUUUGUAAAAAUAAAAUAUAAAACCUGCUCAAUGUUUGUAUAUAUUGCUGUGGUAUUAUGACUAUACGAAGGUAUUGAAAUAAGGCUUUAAAUGGGUGCUAAGAGAAUGGUUUAACAAGGAUUAACUUUUUUCUUCUUUUUAUUAAAAUUUGGUAAAAAAAUGAGGAAAUUUUUAUGAAAAUUUGGGACAAGAAGACCCUAUGAAUUUUUUAUGAAGAAAUUGUUAGAUAAAGUUUAUUAUUUUUUGUAAUUUUUUUUUUAGUUGGUUGGGGUGACUUUUAAAGAACAUUUAUCUUUAAAAUAGUUGUAAUUUGAUCCAAUAAUAUUGAUUAUUUAAAUUAAAUACUCUAGGGAUAACAGCGUUAUUACUUUGGAUAGUUCAUAUAGAUAAAGUAGAUUGCGACCUCGAUGUUGGAUUAAGAUACUUUUAUGAUGUAGAAGUUGUAAAAAGAAGUUUGUUCAACUUUUAAAAUCUUACAUGAUCUGAGUUCAGACCGGCGGGAGUCAGGUUGGUUUCUAUCUAAAUUAAAAGUUUAAAUUUUUAUAGUACGAAAGGAAUUAUAAAUUUAAAUUAUUUAGUUAAAUUUUAGUUUAAAUUUAAAAGAUAAAUUAGUUGA
rnacentral:rRNA from 1 species